AGCGAACGCUGGCGGCAGGCUUAACACAUGCAAGUCGAACGCCCCGCAAGGGGAGUGGCAGACGGGUGAGUAACACGUGGGAACGUACCCUUUGGUUCGGAAUAACUUGGGGAAACUCAAGCUAAUACCGGAUAAGCCCUUAUGGGGAAAGGUUUACUGCCGAAGGAUCGGCCCGCGUCUGAUUAGCUAGUUGGUGAGGUAAUGGCUCACCAAGGCGACGAUCAGUAGCUGGUCUGAGAGGAUGAUCAGCCACACUGGGACUGAGACACGGCCCAGACUCCUACGGGAGGCAGCAGUGGGGAAUAUUGGACAAGGGGGGCAACCCUGAUCCAGCCAUGCCGCGUGAGUGAUGAAGGCCUUGGGGUUGUAAAGCUCUUUUACCCGGGACGAUAAUGACUGUACCGGGAGAAUAAGCCCCGGCUAACUUCGUGCCAGCCGCCGCCGUAA
rnacentral:rRNA from 1 species